rnacentral:rRNA from 1 species
AGUGAACGCUGGCGGUAGGCCUAACACAUGCAAGUCGAACGGCAGCACAGUAAGAGCUUGCUCUUACGGGUGGCGAGUGGCGGACGGGUGAGGAAUACAUCGGAAUCUACUUUUUCGUGGGGGAUAACGUAGGGAAACUUACGCUAAUACCGCAUACGACCUACGGGUGAAAGCAGGGGAUCUUCGGACCUUGCGCGAUUGAAUGAGCCGAUGUCGGAUUAGCUAGUUGGCGGGGUAAAGGCCCACCAAGGCGACGAUCCGUAGCUGGUCUGAGAGGAUGAUCAGCCACACUGGAGCUGAGACACGGUCCAGACUCCUACGGGAGGCAGCAGUGGGGAAUAUUGGACAAUGGGGGCAAGCCUGAUCCAGCCAUACCGCGUGGGUGAAGAAGGCCUUCGGGUUGUAAAGCCCUUUUGUUGGGAAAGAAAAGCAGCAGGUUAAUACCCAGCUGUUCUGACGGUACCCAAAAAAUAAGCACCGGCUAACUUCGUG